rnacentral:rRNA from 1 species
GACAGAGGUGCCGAGCGUUAGGCGGAAUCACUGGGCUUAAAGCGUGUGUAGGCGGGUCCGUAAGUACCUUGUGAAAUCCCACGGCUCAACCGUGGAACUGCUCGGUAUACUGCGGGUCUUGAGCCAACUAGGGGCGACCGGAACAAACGGUGGAGCGGUGAAAUGCGUAGAGAUCGGGAGGAACAUCAGUGGCGAAGGCGGCCAUCUGGGACAACACUGACGCUGAGGCACGAAAGCGUGGGGAGCAAACAGG